AAAAACGUUAACCUCAAAAAACCUAACCAUUUAGCGUAAAGGUUUAAGGCUGUUUAGGCCUCUUAGAUUAUUGGCUCGCUUACUCUCUCCAUCGAUCUCUCCAAUUCAUACUUGUAGCCACUCUCUCCCUCACUCUCUCUCAAAAAUGGCGCAGACCUCAAUCUCUAUCCUUCUCAUGAGACGCAUCACCAAAGUCUCCCAAAACCCUAAAGCAGCAUUCUCCCCUCGCCUUUCCCUUAAACCUUACUCCACGUCCUCCUUACCAGACCCGCCAAAACCCUCUUCUCUCUCUGCCCGCAUGAGCUUUGUAUUCGAUCAAAUAGAUGCCAUAGAACGUGAACGUGUUCAGAAAGAUGAUACCCUCCAAAGAAUUCGUGCUUGGCGCCAAUCCAAAAAUACCGUCCAACACCAGCAACAAAACCCAGGAACCAUUAGCUCCCAGAAUCCAGAAAUAAUAAGCUCGCAAAAUGAAGGUUUAGAGUCUGGAUUUAGAGAUAAUGGUGAUUCUAGUUUAAAUUUGACUGAGACUAACUCUGUCCAGCUGAAGAACAAAACGGAGGUGGAGGUGGUGCACCCUUGGCCAGAGUGGAUAGAAUUGAUGGAAAGAUUGGUGCAGCAGAAUUACUUUGAUCAUAGAAGGAAAGAUGAGGAUAAAAUGGUUCAAGAUUUGGGGUUCGAUCCUCAUGGGGCUGGAAAUGAUGAUGACAUUGGAAUUGAUUUUAAGGAUUUCAGGACUGUACAAACAGCUUGCGUCAAUUUUGGCAAAGACCGGUUUGAUAUCUUGAGGUCAUUGUCAAGACAGGAUAUUCAAAUUUUGGUUGGCCAUGGAUGCCCAAGCGCAGACAAGAAGGUUGUUUUCUCAGCAAAACUUUUGAGGAAGCAUGUGCACCUUGAUGAAGGUGAUGUUUGUUGUAACUGCAGUUUGAGAAACUCUUGUGAAAGGGCAUAUCUUCUAACCAAUAAAGAGGAUGAGGCACGUACUAUUGAUGUUAUGCGGGUUCUUUUAACUUAUGGUUUUGAUCCUAUAAAUGGAUCGGUAGUCAAUAAGUCUCUUCUGAAACAAAAAUCUCUCAAAACUGUAGUCCGUAAAUUACUUCAUGAGGUUGUAAAGCUAAGUGCAAUUCCAAUAGAUCCUAAUCUCCCCCCACCAGUUAUUAAAAAGCCCCCACCAAAAGUGAAGCAACCUCCUCCUCCUCCAAAGAGACGAGUUGGACGUGAUGACGUUGAGAUGAAAAAGGGGGAUUGGCUCUGCCCCAAGUGUGACUUCAUGAAUUUUGCCAAGAAUACAGUGUGCUUACAAUGUGAUGCCAAGCGGCCCAAGAGACAGUUGCUUCCAGGAGAAUGGGAAUGCCCAGAGUGCAACUUCUUAAACUAUAGGAGAAAUAUGGCAUGUUUCCAUUGUGAUUGCAAGCGUCCACCUGAUGAAUUUAUUGAAAAUAAAAUGGAACAGAUGCAAAAUGUUCAUGAAAAAAGACCGGAGAAGAUUCCCAGGCGCCCAGAAGUUUCUAAUGCCUGGAAUUUUGACUUUGAUGAUGAUGAAUCAGAUGGUGCAGAUGUUGCUGCUUUUGAGUAUGCAGAUUCUGCAGCUAUGAACGAAGACUCUCCUUUGGGUCCUCAAGCUCAGGGAGGAAAAUUUAGAGGGCUUGAUGAUGAUCUUAACAUAACCAGCAGAAUUCCUAGGGUUCAUGAAAGAGAAUAUUCUGAUCCCAGAAAUAACAGACUUGCAACAGGUUUUGAUGAUUUUGAUGAUGAAGAUGAUGUUGACAGUUAUGAGCUAGAAACUGAAAACCAUAGUCCUGCAUGGAAGGAAACUCGAAAUAAUUUUACUCGACAAGGGAUCUGUGAAUUGGAAGAUGGUGAAAGUUCUGAUGAUGAGUUGCACACUAAUCCAAGGGAAAGUCCCCAAUCUUACAUCAAGCCAUCUAAGCAUAAGCAUAAAAAGGCAUCUUUCUUGGACUCUGAGGAUGAUGAACUGAACUUUGAUUCAGAUGGUGAAAUUUUGGUUAACCGCAAAUGGAAAUCUAGUCAUGUCAUUGAUGCUAAACAUAAAAACAGGGGCAGAAGUCCAACUGGUCUAUCCAGGGGAUUAAGUUUUGGGUCAGAUGAAGAAGUUGAGCUUGAUUCUGAUGCAGAUGAUUUUGAUGAAGAUUUUGGCUCCAACCAAAGGAAAGGAAAUAAACAGGAUUUUGGCAGAAGGAACUAUCAUAGACGUUCUGAUAAUGAUGAGAUGCUUUCUCAGGGAAGAAAGUAUGGGAAGAACAAAAUGGAAGCUGGUGGAAGACGUGACGACUUCAGAGGUCGAAGUGAUUACGACUUCGUAAGAGAUCCUAAGGGUAAAAUAGGUGACAGAAGGCACUCGUGGAAUAAAGAUUUUGAUAGAUCAUCUCAUAGUUCACAUGGUGAAAAUAGAGGAUUCCGAGGUAAUGAUCGAUCUGAGAAGAGAAUAAAUGGUGGCAACUUUCAGAAUUUCAAGGGACCAAGACAGGAAAGAUUUCGAAACCAGCAACGAGGUCAAUCCAGUGAUUAUAAGAUGAACAUGGACAGGGAUUUUGGUGAGUUCAGAAACAGCCGGCGAGUAAUUGAAAGGUAAACUUGAACCAUGGAUGAUUGGCAUGUCAGGAAUUGUUGUUUUCGCUGCUGGUUAUGCAGAUGACUAGCAUUUCUGCAAUUCUGCUCCCAGUUAUCAUGUCAAAUGGUCAUAGAUAUUACUUGGGAAGUCCUUGACCCAAGUUAAAAAUGCUAAAUGCAGUCAUUGCCCAAUCUGCAGAUACUCUUAUCAGAUUCAACAACUUUAUGGGGGAGUAGCAGACUGCAACUAGCUGCCCUACCCAGAUUGAUAACAUGCCGCUUAAUGAGCACCUGCGUGUCAUUUACUGCAAGAUAGUCCAAUUGAAUUGGAUAUUUGGUUGGCCUGCUACGAAAUUUUCAUCAAGGUGCUCCAUGCUGCCUCCAUAUAUGGGCGCCUCUUGAUGAAAAUGUACGCUUAUGUUCAUAUUUUGUUCUGCUGAAACGUGAUAUGGUUGGUAGAUUAGAUUCAGGAGUUUGUCUGGUUGUUUGAUUAGAGUUCAAUGUGAGUGGCUAUUCACGCUCCUUAAUUAAAAUAUUUUCUCUAAA
rnacentral:misc_RNA from 1 species